rnacentral:piRNA from 1 species
AUGAAGCUUUGUCUGGCCUGGAG